CCUACGGGGGGCAGCAGUAGGGAAUCUUCCACAAUGGGCGCAAGCCUGAUGGAGCAACACCGCGUGAGUGAAGAAGGGUUUCGGCUCGGAAAGCUCUGUUGUUGGAGAAGAAAGUGCGUGAGAGUAACUGUUCACGCAGUGACGGUAUCAAACCAGAAAGUCACGGCUAAAUUCGUGCCAGCAGCCGCGGUAAUACGUAGGUGGCAAGCAUUAUCCGGAUUUAUUGGGCGUAAAGCGAGCGCAGGCGGUUGCUUAGGUCUGAUGUGAAAGCCUUCGGCUUAACCGAAGACGUGCAGCGGAAACCGGGCGACUUGAGUGCAGAAGAGGACAGUGGAACUCCAUGUGUAGCGGUGGAAUGCGUAGAUAUAUGGAAGAACCCCAGUGGCGAAGGCGGCUGUCUGGUCUGCAACUGACGCUGAGGCGCGAAAGCGUGGGUAGCAAACAGGAUUAGAUACCCUAGUAGUC
rnacentral:rRNA from 1 species